UACGUAGGGGUGCAAGCGUUUAAUCGGAAUUACUGGGCGUAAAGCGUGCGCAGGCGGUUUUGUAAGUCUGUCGUGAAAUCCCCGGGCUCAACCUGGGAAUUGCGAUGGAGACUGCAAGGCUAGAAUCUGGCAGAGGGGGGUAGAAUUCCACGUGUAGCAGUGAAAUGCGUAGAGAUGUGGAGGAACACCGAUGGCGAAGGCAGCCCCCUGGGGUCAAGAUUGACGCUCAUGCACGAAA
rnacentral:rRNA from 1 species